ensembl:lncRNA
GAUAGAAAGAGGAUUUAAUGGGACUGUAGCUGCGAGCUGGCUGUUCCCCGGUGCUCCGUUACGUCCUUCCACGCUGGGCCCUCCCACAGCCAAGUGGAUGCUGAUGACAAAAGCCGUGGGCACCCACGGCCCCUCUGCUUCCUCGAUGUGCGCUCGCGGAAGGAGGUGGCAUCGGGCCGGGUUGGCUCUCUGCACUUCCCACAGCGGUGACGUUGGCGUGGCAGCCGUUGUCCUCCACGGGCAGCACUGAAGCUGUUUGUGCUGCCUGUGCUGCUGCCCUGUAUUCAGGCUGGGACUUGGGACGUGCCGGGGUGGCCAAGAGCCAUGCGGGAACCUGCGGGGCCACCUCCUACCGCCAACAUAGCCACUCAAUGGAGCCAUAGGCAAUGCUACGCACCGUUGUCCCACGCGCUGGUGGCAGCAAGCAGGAGCAGAUCCCGUGAGGCUGCCUUUGGGCACCUCUGUCUGCUUUGGAGCCCCACAUCUCUUCCUCAGCAUGCCUGGGGGGCGACUGCACGUGCCGGUUCGUAUUUCUUAUGCUGUGCUGCUCUGGCUUCUGUGCAUCCCUCUUGGAUCCCGCUGUCUUACAGCACUCACAAUGCAUUCGGCAGGACACAGGCAAUGCAGAAGGCUCCUGGGCCUUGUUGUCCCAGCAACGUUGUCCCUGCUUUGGUUGAUGAAGUCCCUCAUGCGCAGGUGGACGCAUGCAGGUGCAGGUGCAGGUCUGCGGGGGCUGCUCUGUGGCUCCCCUGCCUGGCUUGGAGCCCUGACGAUUUGUCCGGUGGGCUGUGGGGGCCACCCGCUGCCACGAGUGCCAGCCAUUCACGCUCUGCCUGCCUGCCUGCUCUGCACGUCUCCUGCCACAGACGGCACAGCUCAGACGCUGGCUGGCUGCACUGCAGCAGUCAUCUUCCGUAGCCAGGCGUGAAGGUGCUGCUGCUGCUGGUCUUACUGUCUUUUGCAUGUGGGGUACUUCUUGUGGACGCUUGGACAAUCCAACAGGCUGCUGUUCCUUCUGCUCCCACCAACGUACAGCGGCACCUGUCUGCAUGAUGCUCUCACGUACAACUGUCCCCAGCUCUGUGUGUAGGAGCAGAUCCCAGCAUGCAGCUCAUCAGCUCUUCGCCUUUCCUUGCCACAGCCAAUCUCACUUCUGUGUUGCCCGAGUUCCCUCGGGACACACAAGCAGUGUUCUUGCUCAGAGGAGGGAGGGCUUGGUUUCCCCAUGCAUCUCUCGGGAGCUGCUGUCGCUCAUUCGGGAGACACUCUGGUGGACCUGGGAAGGCCUGGUGGAGACACUGCCCACUUAGGAGGGGGCACGAGAUUAUCUGGCCUGCUUCCUUUUCCUGCACUUCUUUGGGCACCAAAGGAACACUGCGAGUUCUCUUCUCUGUCACAAGUCCCAACACCAACGUCUCUGCGGACUGGAGCUGGUCUUGCUGUGUAACUGCAAGCCGCUGUGUAACUGCUGCGCAGUCCUGGUGGAUACACCGCCCACUCUGGAAGUGGCACGAGAUUAUCCGGCCUCUGAGGCAGCCGACCGUCUGGGAGGAGGAUGCUCUGGCAGACAGGACAAUGCAGUCCUCUGCUGGUGGCCGGCUGGACAAGCAGUCCUCAUGGCAUCUUCUACUGCUCUGCUGGCUCCCUUGCCACCUUCAUUCUUUGCCUGGGCAGGCUUUGUUGCCAUCAGAUCCUGCCGAUGGAAGCAGCCUGGUUUCCCCACAGUAGCAUCCCCCCAGUGCUGCAAAAAUAGCCCAGACUAUGCCGCAGAAAGGAGUGCAGGCAGCGGGCCUGGGUUUUGCACUGCGUGUGGGGCAUGCCAGUAUGCAUGUGUCCAUGGGCACAGACGUGGAACUGCUCUGUUGAGGCUUCUUGGUUCACAUUAGGGGAGUUGUUGUUCCUUCUAGUAGAGCUCUGAGCCCUGGGGGAGCUGCAACAGGAUAGGCUGCCCUGCUCCGCUACCUCUGCCAGGUCCCGCCAGGCCACAUCCCAGAACUCAGGGCCCAGAGUGGCCACGUGCUCUGGGAGAGUCGAUGUUCAGCUUUGCUACAGCAGUUGCAGCUGGCGCAGGAACACCGUGGCCCACGUGUCUGUCUGUCUGAACCUGCAAAACAGGGAGGGGGCAUGAGCCAUAGCAGGAUGGGGCAUCAGUUAUGCCCUUGACCCAUCUGGCCAACCUGCAGUGUGCCACGUCCUGGCCCAGGGUUGGGCUCCUCCCAUGGGUCCACCCAGGCCUUGCAUGCAUCAGGGCAAGCUUGGGGCUUGGGCUGAGCCACUGGAGACUCACCUGACUCCCGUGCUGCUGCUCCCUGCUGCUCCUCACUCAGGGCAUUCGGGCAGCUGCUGAAGGACAGGCAGCCCCGCUCCGCUACCUCUGACAGGUCCCUGCAAGCCACCUCCUGAAACUUAGGGCCAGGAGUGGCCUCGUGCUCAGGCAUCACCGUUAGCACCAGCUGCUGCUGCUCCUGGUCAGCUUUGCUGCAGCGGUUGCAGCUGGAGCAGGAGCACCGUGGCCCACGUGUCUGGCUCUCUGCACUUCCCACAGCGGUGACGUUGGCGUGGCAGCCGUUGUCCUCCACGGGCAGCACUGAAGCUGUUUGUGCUGCCUGUGCUGCUGCCCUGUAUUCAGGCUGGGACUUGGGACGUGCCGGGGUGGCCAAGAGCCAUGCGGGAACCUGCGGGGCCACCUCCUACCGCCAACAUAGCCACUCAAUGGAGCCAUAGGCAAUGCUACGCACCGUUGUCCCACGCGCUGGUGGCAGCAAGCAGGAGCAGAUCCCGUGAGGCUGCCUUUGGGCACCUCUGUCUGCUUUGGAGCCCCACAUCUCUUCCUCAGCAUGCCUGGGGGGCGACUGCACGUGCCGGUUCGUAUUUCUUAUGCUGUGCUGCUCUGGCUUCUGUGCAUCCCUCUUGGAUCCCGCUGUCUUACAGCACUCACAAUGCAUUCGGCAGGACACAGGCAAUGCAGAAGGCUCCU